AGCGAACGCUGGCGGCAGGCCUAACACACGCAAGUCGAACGGACCCUUCGGGGUUAGUGGCGGACGGGUGAGUAACACGUGGGAACGUGCCUUUAGGUUCGGAAUAGCUCCUGGAAACGGGUGGUAAUGCCGAAUGUGCCCUUCGGGGGAAAGAUUUAUCGCCUUUAGAGCGGCCCGCGUCUGAUUAGCUAGUUGGUGGUGUAACGGACCACCAAGGCGACGAUCAGUAGCUGGUCUGAGAGGAUGAUCAGCCACAUUGGGACUGAGACACGGCCCAAACUCCUACGGGAGGCAGCAGUGGGGAAUUUUGCGCAAUGGGCGAAAGCCUGACGCAGCCAUGCCGCGUGAAUGAUGAAGGUCUUAGGAUUGUAAAAUUCUUUCACCGGGGACGAUAAUGACGGUACCCGGAGAAGAAGCCCCGGCUAACUUCGUGCCAGCAGCCGCCGUAACAC
rnacentral:rRNA from 1 species